CAACCUGCCUGUAAGACUGGGAUAACUUCGGGAAACCGGAGCUAAUACCGGAUAAUCCUUUUCCUCUCAUGAGGAAAAGCUGAAAGACGGUUUACGCUGUCACUUACAGAUGGGCCCGCGGCGCAUUAGCUAGUUGGUGAGGUAACGGCUCACCAAGGCGACGAUGCGUAGCCGACCUGAGAGGGUGAUCGGCCACACUGGGACUGAGACACGGCCCAGACUCCUACGGGAGGCAGCAGUAGGGAAUCUUCCGCAAUGGACGAAAGUCUGACGGAGCAACGCCGCGUGAGUGAUGAAGGUUUUCGGAUCGUAAAACUCUGUUGUUAGGGAAGAACAAGUACAAGAGUAACUGCUUGUACCUUGACGGUACCUAACCAGAAAGCCACGGCUAACUACGUGCCAGCAGCCGCGGUAAUACGUAGGUGGCAAGCGUUGUCCGGAAUUAUUGGGCGUAAAGCGCGCGCAGGCGGUCCUUUAAGUCUGAUGUGAAAGCCCACGGCUCAACCGUGGAGGGUCAUUGGAAACUGGGGGACUUGAGUGCAGAAGAGA
rnacentral:rRNA from 1 species